GGCUGGUCCAAUAGCAGUGGGUUAUCAGAACUUAUUAACAUUAGUGUCACUAAAGUUGGUAUACCACCCCCCCCCCACUGCUAAAUUUGACUGGCUUAAA
ensembl:misc_RNA Y_RNA Y RNA